rnacentral:rRNA from 1 species
AAAGCGCACGUAGGCGGAUCUUUAAGUCGGGGGUGAAAUCCCGGGGCUCAACCCCGGAACUGCCUUCGAUACUGGGGAUCUUGAGUCCGGAAGAGGUGAGUGGAACUCCUAGUGUAGAGGUGGAAUUCGUAGAUAUUAGGAAGAACACCAGUGGCGAAGGCGGCUCACUGGUCCGGUACUGACGCUGAGGUGCGAAAGCGUGGGGAGCAAACAGGAUUAGAUACCCGAGU